rnacentral:rRNA from 1 species
CGUACUGAGACACGGACCAGACUCCUACGGGAGGCAGCAGUGAGGAAUAUUGGACAAUGGGAGCAAUCCUGAUCCAGCCAUGCCGCGUGCAGGAAGACUGCCCUAUGGGUUGUAAACUGCUUUUAUACAGGAAGAAAAAGCCCGACGUGUCGGGUGUUGACGGUACUGUAAAAAUAAGGAUCGGCUAACUCCGUGCCAGCAGCCGCGGUAAUACGGAGGAUCCAAGCGUUAUCCGGAAUCAUUGGGUUUAAAGGGUCCGUAGGCGGGACAAUAAGUCAGUGGUGAAAGUCUGCAGCUCAACUGUAGAAUUGCCAUUGAUACUGUUGUUCUUGAGUGCUUGUGAAGUGGUUAGAAUGAGUAGUGUAGCGGUGAAAUGCAUAGAUAUUACUCAGAAUACCGAUUGCGAAGGCAGAUCACUAACAAUUCACUGACGCUGAUGGACGAAAGCGUAGGUAGCGAACAGGAUUAGAUACCCUGGUAGUCUACGCCGUAAACGAUGGUUACUAGCUGUUCGGACCAAUUGAGGUCUGAGUGGCUAAGCGAAAGUGAUAAGUAACCCACCUGGGGAGUACGUUCGCAAGAAUGAAACUCAAAGGAAUUGACGG